AUCCAACAAGUGAUGAGUCCCAAAUAGGACUAAACGCAUGUCCUGGAU
rnacentral:hammerhead_ribozyme from 1 species